rnacentral:lncRNA from 1 species
CUCAGGGACCCCCAGAAGGAGUUCAGGGCCCCCCAAAUAGAGCUUAGAGACCCCAGGAGUUGCUCAGGGACCCCAAGGAGGAACUCGAGUCCCCCAGGAGGAGCUCAAGGACCCCCAUGGCGGACCUCAAGAACCCGAGGACCCCCAUAAGGAGCCACUGGGCGCCCCGUAGAGCACCAAGGACAGCUCUCGAGCAACCUGGGGACCCCCCCCCCUCCCCACCUUACUGCCCCC